GACGAACGCUGGCGGCGUGCUUAACACAUGCAAGUCGAACGGAAAGGCCCUGCUUUUGUGGGGUGCUCGAGUGGCGAACGGGUGAGGAACACGUGAGUAACCUGCCCUUGACUUUGGGAUAACUUCAGGAAACGGGGGCUAAUACCGGAUAGGAGCUCCUGCUGCAUGGUGGGGGGUGGAAAGUUUCGGCGGGUGGGGAUGGACGCGCGGCUUAUCAGCUUGUUGGUGGGGGAGUGGCUUACCAAGGCUUUGACGGGUAGCCGGCCUGAGAGGGUGACCGGGCACAUUGGGACUGAGAUACGGCCCAGACUCCUAUGGGAGGCAGCAGUGGGGAAUAUUGCACAAUGGGAGGAAGCCUGAUGCAGAAACGCCGCGUGCGGGAUGACGGCCUUCGGGUUGUAAACCGCUUUCGCCUGUGACGAAGCGUUAGUGACGGUAAUGGGUAAAGAAGCACCGGCUAACUACGUG
rnacentral:rRNA from 1 species